CACUCCACAGUGUAAUAGGAUGUUGGUCCUGGUUUUCCAGCCUCGAUUUUCCAAUUCUGAAUGUCUUUUUGUUGCACCUAGCUGUAGUCACCCGUCAGUUACACACCAAGCCACUAGGAAACAAGCGGACAGGCGCAAGCAGCACACAACCUGGGAGGCUCUCCCUUCCGCGAGGGAGGGGGCAUUGAAAGGACGUGCAUACCUAGGCUUGGCGGAGAACAGGCAGAACAUGUAGCCCACAAAAGGCAAAGCGAAGCCCACAGAUGUGCCCUUGAAGAUCCACUCCCCCACACCAGCGGAGCGCCUCUGUCAGGUCAUGAAAUACUGCAGGACCAGCCGCAUUGUGUUCAUAACACUCAUCACCAGACUGGUCAGCAGUUCAGGAUCCAUGCUUUCCGGCAGAGAUGACAGGCAUACAGUUAACAAGAGCUGUUGAAAGACAGCGCAAAAUGAAGUCAGAAACCCAUGGAAUGAUGGGAUGGAAAGAAUUGCCUCAUUGGACAGUGAACACUGAUCUGUUCCCAGAGCUCCCAGUGGCAGUGUGGCAAGUUGCACAGUGGGAUACAAUACAUCACUCUCUCUGUCAGUGCAAGAGCAGUGACUGUGGACGUGCUCCGCCGACAUAAGGAGUGUUGCAUGGAUGUGCACAACCAAUGUAAUUAAAGCGGCAUAUGAUCAUCCACAUAACUUAAGUUGCCUUAACUCUGUAACGUAGACAUUGCCUAACUGACCUUGCUGCUUGCAGAGCUGAGUGUUAAGUCACGUGACUUACAUGCGACUUGCUGUGCCAAAGUGAUUGCAGAAUUAAGGGGUAACUGAGUGCUCUGACUUGCUCUACCACAUUAAAUAUAGAAUUGAAUGUUCUUAAUUAAGUUUUCUCUCUUUGCUUUCUCUCAUGUGGUUAGCUAAAGGUAAACAAAUGUUUUAGCAGUUGCUCUAAUUUAUUGUUGCCAGUUUAAUGUAACAUUAAAUACUGAGGGUUAUUAAGCAUUGGAACAAAUUACCAACAGAAGUGGUGGAUUCUCCUUUUCUUAGAUAUGUUCAAAUAAAGACUGGAUGCCUUUCUGGAAGAUAUUGGAUACAAUACAGAAGUAACUGGGUCAAAUUACACAGAAGUUCAGAUGACAUGAUCUAAUGGUCCAUUCUGGCCUUAAAACUUGUGAAUCUAUGCAUUUUCAUACUUAAAACAUGUAUGGAUUUUCUGUUAAAUAUAACCUUAAC